UAAGGGCGCACGGUGGAUGCCUUGGCACUAGAAGCCGAUGAAGGACGUUACUAACGACGAUAUGCUUUGGGGAGCUGUAAGUAAGCUUUGAUCCAGAGAUUUCCGAAUGGGGAAACCCAGCAUGAGUUAUGUCAUGUUAUCGAUAUGUGAAUACAUAGCAUAUCAGAAGGCACACCCGGAGAACUGAAACAUCUUAGUACCCGGAGGAAGAGAAAGAAAAUUCGAUUCCCUUAGUAGCGGCGAGCGAAACGGGAAGAGCCCAAACCAACAAGCUUGCUUGUUGGGGUUGUAGGACACUCUAUACGGAGUUACAAAGGACGACAUUAGACGAAUCAUCUGGAAAGAUGAAUCAAAGAAGGUAAUAAUCCUGUAGUCGAAAAUGUUGUCUCUCUUGAGUGGAUCCUGAGUACGACGGAGCACGUGAAAUUCCGUCGGAAUCUGGGAGGACCAUCUCCUAAGGCUAAAUACUCUCUAGUGACCGAUAGUGAACCAGUACCGUGAGGGAAAGGUGAAAAGCACCCCGGAAGGGGAGUGAAAUAGAACCUGAAACCGUGUGCUUACAAGUAGUCAGAGCCCGUUAAUGGGUGAUGGCGUGCCUUUUGUAGAAUGAACCGGCGAGUUACGAUUUGAUGCAAGGUUAAGCAGUAAAUGUGGAGCCGUAGCGAAAGCGAGUCUGAAUAGGGCGUUUAGUAUUUGGUCGUAGACCCGAAACCAGGUGAUCUACCCUUGGUCAGGUUGAAGUUCAGGUAACACUGAAUGGAGGACCGAACCGACUUACGUUGAAAAGUGAGCGGAUGAACUGAGGGUAGCGGAGAAAUUCCAAUCGAACCUGGAGAUAGCUGGUUCUCUCCGAAAUAGCUUUAGGGCUAGCCUCAAGUGAUGAUUAUUGGAGGUAGAGCACUGUUUGGACGAGGGGCCCCUCUCGGGUUACCGAAUUCAGACAAACUCCGAAUGCCAAUUAAUUUAACUUGGGAGUCAGAACAUGGGUGAUAAGGUCCGUGUUCGAAAGGGAAACAGCCCAGACCACCAGCUAAGGUCCCAAAAUAUAUGUUAAGUGGAAAAGGAUGUGGCGUUGCCCAGACAACUAGGAUGUUGGCUUAGAAGCAGCCAUCAUUUAAAGAGUGCGUAAUAGCUCACUAGUCGAGUGACACUGCGCCGAAAAUGUACCGGGGCUAAACAUAUUACCGAAGCUGUGGAUUGUCCUUUGGACAAUGGUAGGAGAGCGUUCUAAGGGCGU
rnacentral:rRNA from 1 species